AUACGUAGGGGGCGAGCGUUGUCCGGAAUUACUGGGCGUAAAGGGUGCGUAGGCGGCAUAUCAAGUCAGAUGUGAAAUACCACGGCUCAACUGUGGGGUUGCAUUUGAAACUGGUAUGCUUGAGUGCAGGAGAGGGAAGUGGAAUUUCUAGUGUAGCGGUGAAAUGCGUAGAGAUUAGGAAGAACACCAGUGGCGAAGGCGGCUUCCUGGACUGUAACUGACGCUGAGGCACGAAAGCGUGGGUAGCGAACAGGAUUAGAUACCCUGGUAGUCCACGCCGUAAACGAUGGAUACUAGGUGUAGGGGGUAUCGACCCCCUCUGUGCCGGAGUUAACGCAAUAAGUAUCCCGCCUGGGGAGUACGACCGCAAGGUUGAA
rnacentral:rRNA from 1 species